AGUGAACGCUGGCGGUAGGCCUAACACAUGCAAGUCGAACGGCAGCACAGGAGAGCUUGCUCUCUGGGUGGCGAGUGGCGGACGGGUGAGGAAUACAUCGGAAUCUACUCUGUUGUGGGGGAUAACGUAGGGAAACUUACGCUAAUACCGCAUACGACCUACGGGUGAAAGCAGGGGACCUUCGGGCCUUGCGCGAUUGAAUGAGCCGAUGUCGGAUUAGCUAGUUGGUGGGGUAAAGGCCCACCAAGGCGACGAUCCGUAGCUGGUCUGAGAGGAUGAUCAGCCACACUGGAACUGAGACACGGUCCAGACUCCUACGGGAGGCAGCAGUGGGGAAUAUUGGACAAUGGGCGCAAGCCUGAUUCAGCCAUACCGCGUGGGUGAAGAAGGCCUUCGGGUUGUAAAGCCCUUUUGUUGGGAAAGAAAUCCAGCUGGCUAAUACCCGGUUGGGAUGACGGUACCCAAAGAAUAAGCACCGGCUAACUUCGUGCCAGCCGCCGCAGUAA
rnacentral:rRNA from 1 species